rnacentral:rRNA from 1 species
GAUGAACGCUAGCGGCAGGCCUAACACAUGCAAGUCGAGGGGUAACAUAGAAAAGCUUGCUUUUCUGAUGACGACCGGCGCACGGGUGCGUAACGCGUAUACAACCUACCUUUUAGCGGGGAAUAGCCCAGGGAAACUUGGAUUAAUGCCUCAUAGUAUAUAAGCUUCUCCUGAAGUUUAUAUUAAACAUUUAUGGCUGUUAGAUGGGUAUGCGUCCUAUUAGUUAGUUGGUAAGGUAACGGCUUACCAAGGCAGCGAUAGGUAGGGGUCCUGAGAGGGAGAUCCCCACACUGGUACUGAGACACGGACCAGACUCCUACGGGAGGCAGCAGUGAGGAAUAUUGGACAAUGGGCGAGAGCCUGAUCCAGCCAUGCCGCGUGCAGGAAGACUGCCCUAUGGGUUGUAAACUGCUUUUACAGAGGAAGAACCACCCCCACGUGUGGGGGUUUGACGGUACUCUGCGAAUAAGGAUCGGCUAACUCCGUG